CUAGUCCUCUCUGCUCUUAUUGAUUGGUUGGACCAAUCAACUGACCCCAUUCUGGCCAAUGAGAUAAAAGGGCUGCUCUGGAACGGGUUUUCUCUUUUGUCAUCCUGCUGCUGCUGCUGCUGCUGCUGCUGCUGCUAAGUCGCUUCAGUUGUGUCCGUCUCUCACCAGGCUCCCUCGUCCCUGGCAUUCUCCAGGCAAGAACACUGGAGUGGGUUGCCAUUUCCUUCUCCAAUGCGUGAAAGUGAAAAGUGAAAGUGAAGUCGCUCAGUUGUGUCCGACUCUUCGCGACCCCAUGGACGGCAGCCUACCAGGCUUCUCCGUCCAUGGGAUUUUCCAGGCAAGAGUACUGGAGUGGGUCGCCAGUGCCUUCUCCCGCUUUUGUCAUAAAGGAGAGGAAAAGGGGUUGAUGGUUUCGCCUUUUCUUCUCACCUUUAAGUGUGUUUUUUGAGGUGAUAGUGGUUAGAGCUCGAGGGACAAUAUUUCUAAUUCACUGAGGAUGAAAUGGAGUGCACGGACGAAGGACACCUUGGAGCAACAGAACCAAUUGCUCUGCUGACUCUUCUGGGCUCCUCGUUCUGUGAGAUGAGGAAGGAGGAGAUGAGAGAACAUGUGGAAUGAAGGAUGGAAAGGAGAACCAACAAGAUGAAGGGAACUGGUAUUAGGAAGGUGUGGGUGCACGCAUCGCUUCGUGUCAACUCUUUGUGACCCUCUGGACCAUAGCCCAGCAGGCUCCUCUGUCCAUGGGGAUUCUCCAGACAAGAAUACUGGAGUGGAUUGCUGUGUCCUCCCUUAGUGGAUCUUUCCCAUCCAGGGAUUGAACCUGUGUCUCGUGUCUCCUGUAUUGGCAGGCGGGUUCUUUACCACUAGCGCCACCUGAGAAGCCCUUCUCGGAAGGCAGUAUCUGUUGACUUUUUACUCCUCCCUGCCUUCCUGAUUCUCAUCCACAGAGGACACCUCUCCCAGCACCUCAGGCGUCUCUUUCAUGAAGCGGGUUUUCCUGCCAUGAUGCUCUCUACCCUGUGCUCGGCCUCCUGAGGGCAGCAGUGCGAUUGUGCACAGAGUUCCACGUGGGGUUUCGCCUGAGCCAAGGACACAGCCUUCCAGUUGCUUCCUAGCAUCUUUCCCUAAUGUGCCCAUAAGUCUGUUGAUUUUUAUGUAACGAGUUUUGUUUUCCUGGGGUUUUUAUUUUGGUGUAUAUUUUGGAUAUGACAGAAAACAAAGUUCUCCCAGUUGCCUUUCCCAGCUGUAGCUGAGAAUUCAAUGUCAUUACUCUGUAAGGACCAGAGGGAUUUUUUUUUUCUAACUCUAUUUACCUGGAUUAGUCAAAUUAACCAAAUAAUUGCCAAAUGGUCCUUUCCCUCUGGCUGAUGGGAUACAGAAGAGGAAUGACAUUGAGUGGUUGUCUCAGAGAUGGACACCUACACGAUGCUGUGCUGUGAGCUGCAGGCACUAUGUCAGCAAAUCUCUGGAACUUACCCACCCAGCACAACUGAAGCUAUGUACCCAUUAAGCAGCAACUCCUCAUUGUUCUCACCCCCAGACCCUGGAAGCCACUAUUGCAGUCUCUGCUUCUAGGAGUUUGACUGCUUUAGAUUUCUCCUAAAAGUGGAAUCAACUUCCCAGGUGGCUUAGUAGUAAAGAAUCAUCUGCAAUGCAGGAGAUAUGAGUUUGAUCCAUGGGUCAAAAAGAUCCCCUGGAGAAGGAAGUGUCAACUCAUUCCAGUAUUCUUGCCUGGGAAAUACCAUGAACAGGGGAGCCUGAUGGGCUACAGUCCAUGGG
ensembl:lncRNA